UUGGAGGGCAAGUCUGGUGCCAGCAGCCGCGGUAAUUCCAGCUCCAAUAGCGUAUAUUAAACUUGUUGCAGUUAAAAAGCUCGUAGUUGAAUUUCUGCGUUAUCGAGUUAUUGACUCUUGUCUUUAAUCGAUUUCGCUUUUGGGAUUUAUCCCUUUUUACUUUGAGAAAAUUAGAGUGUUUCAAGCAGACUUUUGUCUUGAAUACUUCAGCAUGGAAUAAUAGAGUAGGACUUUGGUUCUAUUUUGUUGGUUUUUGAACCUUAGUAAUGGUUAAUAGGAACGGUUGGGGGCAUUCGUAUUUAACUGUCAGAGGUGAAAUUCUUAGAUUUGUUAAAGACGAACUACUGCGAAAGCAUUUGCCAAGGACGUUUCCAUUAAUCAAGAACGAAAGUUAGGGGAUCGAAGACGAUCAGAUACCGUCGUAGUCCUAACCA
rnacentral:rRNA from 1 species